rnacentral:tmRNA from 2 species
GGGGUCGACUUGGCUUCGACAGGAUUCUCUUCCCUUGAGUGCAUGUCAGCGCGGGAGGCUGUAAAACUCCCACUUGCAAUAAACGCAAACAACACAAAAUUCGCUCCAGCCUACGCAAAAGUCGCGUAAGCUUAACUAAUUUCGAGCCGAUUAUCCUAGCUAUACUAGCUCGCUAGAAAUAAUCGUAACUUCUGCUAGUUGCGCUUGCAAUCUUGCUUUAGGAUUUUAAGCAAAGACUUAUAAAGCUUUUUGUGUGAGGGUUUUUAGGUUUUAGCCACACAAGAAAUCUAAACCUAUGAAAGCAUGUAGAUUCUCUUGAUUUGGAGGUGAGUUUUGGACUGGGGUUCAACUCCCCACGACUCCACCA